rnacentral:siRNA from 1 species
AAGCUCACAGGAACAACAGCAAGC